rnacentral:rRNA from 1 species
AGUUAUGAUCUUGAAAAUAAAAAAAUCUGGCGGUAUUAUAGUCUUUUCAGAGGAACCUGCCCUGUAAAUGAUAAUCCACGAUUAAUUGUACUUGCUUUUUAUGUUUGUAUAUCGUCGUGGUUGAGUGUUUUAUAAGAAUACAUUCAUGGUUCUUUUUAGGAAGGAAUUCAGAUCAAGGUGCAGCUUUAAGUAAGAAGAGGUGGGUUACAAUAAAUUUAUUUAUACGGUUUAAUUAUUUAACAGUAUUUAAUAAGGUGGAUUUGAAAGUAAAUUUUAAUAUUUAUUAAUUUUGAUUAAGCUCUAUAAUAUGUACAUAUCGCCCGUCGCUCUCAUUUAAGUUGAGAUAAGUCGUAACAUAGUAGAUGUAUCGGAAGAUGUAUCUAGGUUGACUAACUAGAGCUUGUUAUAUAGCAUUUUGCUUACACCAAAAAGAAAUUUAUUUAAAUUGGUUAGAUUUUUUUCUUAAUUUUUUUUUCUUUUUUUAGGUUUUAAAGUAAAUAUAUUUAUGUUUAAUUAUUUUUUGAAAAAAUUUUUUUGUUUAUAGGUUAUAAUUAUCGUGAGAGAAUGAAUUAUAAAUUAUUAAAAGAUGAAUUAAGUUUUUGUACCUUGUGUAUCAGGGUUUAUUAAAUUUAUAAUUAAAAUUAAUUGAUCCCGAAUUUAAAAGAGCUAUAUUUAAUUAAAUUUUUCUGUAGAAUAAGAAUUUUAAAAUUAAAUAUGGUAAUGAAAUGUUAUUCGUUUUUUUGUUUAUCUGGUUGCUUAAUAAAUGCGUAUAAUGCAAUUUUAAAUUUUUAGGCUUAUUUUUUAGGUUUUUAGAGUUUAAAUGUUAUUUUAUUAGGGAUAAGCUUAAUAAAAUAUUUUAUAAUUUUAUUUUUAAUGAAUAAAUUUAUAGGAUUAGAAUUUUUCAUUUUUAAUAUGUUAUAAUAAAUUUAUUUAUUUUUUAAUUUUUUAUUUUUUAAUUUUAUAUUAAGCUUUUAAGGAUAAUUUUUAUUCUAAAGUAAUAAUGAUAGAAUUAGUAUAAAUUUUUGUUUUUGUUAUGAUAAUUUUUAGACAAAAAUAAGGAAUUCGGCAAUAGUUUUUUCGCCUGUUUAUUAAAAACAUGGUUUCUUGCUUAUAAUUUGAGAUUUUACCUGCCCAAUGAUUUUUUAAAUGGCCGCGGUAUUUUGACCGUGCGAAGGUAGCAUAAUCAUUAGUCUUUUAAUUGAAGACUUGUAUGAAUGGUUUGACGAAAAAAACACUGUCUCAGUUUUGUUAAUAGAAUUUUAAUUUUAAGUGAAAAUGCUUAAAUGUUUUUGAGGGACGAGAAGACCCUAUAGAGUUUUAUAAAUUUUUAUUUUUGUAAUUUAGUAUUUUUUAAAAUAAAUUUUUAUUAUUUGGGGGUGAUGGGAAAAUUUAAAUAACUUUUCUUGAAUUUUU